UACGUAGGGUGCUAGCGUUAAUCGGAAUUAUUGGGCGUACAGGGCGCGUAGGCGGAUUGGUAAGUUGGAUGUGAAAUCCCAGAGCUCAACUCUGGAACCGCAUCCAAAACUGUCGAUCUAGAGGGUAGAUGGGGAAAAUGGAAUUCCACAAGUAGCGGUGAAAUGCGUAGAUAUGUGGAAGAACACCUGUGGCGAAAAGCGGUUUUUCCAAUUUUACACCUGACGCUGAGGCGCGAAAAGCAAGGGGAUCAAACAGG
rnacentral:rRNA from 1 species